ACUCCUACGGGAGGCAGCAGUAGGGAAUCUUCCGCAAUGGACGAAAGUCUGACGGAGCAACGCCGCGUGAGUGACGAAGGUUUUCGGAUCGUAAGACUCUGUUGUGAGGGAAGAACAAGUGCCACGUAACUACUGGCACCUUGACGGUACCUCACCAGAAAGCCACGGCUAACUACGUGCCAGCAGCCGCGGUAAUACGUAGGUGGCAAGCGUUGUCCGGAAUUAUUGGGCGUAAAGCGCGCGCAGGCGGUCCUUUAAGUCUGGUGUGAAAGCCCACGGCUCAACCGUGGAGGGUCAUUGGAAACUGGAGGACUUGAGUGCAGAAGAGGAAAGUGGAAUUCCAUGUGUAGCGGUGAAAUGCGUAGGGAUGUGGAGGAACACCAGUGGCGAAGGCGACUUUCUGGUCUGUAACUGACGCUGAGGCGCGAAAGCGUGGGGAGCAAACAGGAUUAGAUACCCUGGUAGUCCACGCCGUAAACGAUGAGUGCUAAGUGUUAGGGGGUUUCCGCCCCUUAGUGCUGCAGCUAACGCAUUAAGCACUCCGCCUGGGGAGUACGGCCGCAAGGCUGAAACUCAAAGGAAUUGACGGG
rnacentral:rRNA from 1 species